CCUCAAACUGAGUCGACCCGCUUGGACACCUCAACACCAUUGUUGGAGUUGGAGAAGGAAGAAAACGCUGGUUUUGUUGAAGGAGAGGAAAAAGGGUCCUCAAUUGAUGAACCUUUUGUUGAAGACAAUGAAGAAAGUGAAACCUAUGAACCAGAAGAAGAAGAAGAAGAAGAAGAAGAAGAAGAAGCAGAUAUUGAAGAAAGUGAAACCUAUGAACCAGAAGAAGAAGAAGAAGAAGAAUUAAUGGAAGGAAACAAUGUGUUAAGUACUGAAGAGAUGAACAAAAGAUUUGAUGAAUUUAUCAGAAAAAUGAAGGAAGGAUUAAGGAUCGAAGCUCAACAACAAUUAGUCAUG
rnacentral:lncRNA from 1 species